rfam:Salmo salar isolate Sally breed double haploid chromosome ssa05, whole genome shotgun sequence.
UCUUAACUGACUUGUAAGUCGCUCUGGAUAAGAGCGUCUGCUAAAUGACUUAAU